CACCAGUCUGUACGUAUCAUCCUACCAUCUCUACCAACCCAACAAUUGUCUCUACCAUCGAUACAUGAAACACACUGUUAUGAUGCUAUUGAAAGGCUCUCUGUACCAUGAUACAUGAACACACUGUUAUGAUCCGUUUGAGAGGAUGAACUUUGUUUGUCUUGUAUUUAUUGAGAUGUAAACACACACACACACACCCACACACCACACACACACACACACACACACCACACACACACAAACACACACACCCCACACAUGCCACUGCAUGUGACGAGCAUCUCUCUGCACAAUGUAAGCGCACACACAGUACACACACACAGACUAUCUGAUAGGUCUGAGUCUGUAGGGCUUUACAUCUGAUAGGUCUGUGUGUGUAUGUGCGUGUGUGUGUACGCGUGUGUGUGUGCGCUUACAUUGUGCAGAGAUGCUCGGUCACAUGCAGUGGCAGUUGGUGUGUGUGUGUGUGUGUGUGUGUGUGUGUGUGUGUGUGUGUUGUUUACAUCUGAUAGGUCUGAUAGGUCUGAUCUGCCUGGGCUUUAAAUCUGAUAGGUUUGAGUCUGCAGGCUUUAAAUCUGUAGGUUUGAGUUGCAGGGCUUUAAAUCUGAUAGGUUUGAGUCUGCAGGGCUUUAAAUCUGAUAGGUCUGAGUCUGCAGGGCUUUAUAUCGGAUAGGUCUGAGUCUGCAGGGCUUUAUAUCGGAUAGGUCUGAGUCUGCAGGGCUUGAUUUCUGAUAGGUCUGUCUGCAGGGCUUUAUAUCUGAUAGGUCUGAGUUUUGAGACUUACGGGAUGUUAACACAUCAUCUAGUCUCUCAUUUAUUUAUUCAUUUUAACCCCUUUUUUUUUACCAUGUAAGUUGACUGAGAACACAUUCUCACUGACAGCAAUGACCUGGGGAAUAGUUACAGGGGAGAGGAGGGGUGAUGAAUGAGCCAAUUGGAAGCUGGGGAUGAUUCGGUGGCUAUGAUGGCCAGAUUGGGAAUUUAGCCAGGACUCUCAUACCAUAUAAUAUUUAUAAACCUCACCUUCCAUCAGAUAUGAAGAAUGUCCCAUAGUAAAGCUACAUGCACAGAUUUGAUCUGUUUAAUAAUAAUAUGUAAUACAAUUCCUUGUGAUUGUGUGUUGUUUAGAAUAAAGACAGUUCUAUUAAUCUCUAUUGAUUGAUACCGGUUUAUUGUGUCUGAAAUGGAUUCACAGGCAGGUGCUGAGGCAUAGAGUAAUGGUGAGAUAGAUACAUGUCGCAUGGUUUAAAAUGGGGGAAACCGAUGUGUGUGUUGGAGCAUUGAGGGACUCCUCUAGCUGGCAGCUAUUGGUUGAUAAUGUCCCGUGUGAAAGUUUAUGUUGUGCAUCAUUAAAACAUCUUGGACCACUAUAACACAUGUAGAAAUCCUUCCAAACGCACCACCAGUAAAUCACUAUAAAAAUCCCUUGUAGUUGCGAGAUAAGGAUGAAUCAUUGUUGCUGAAUAUAAUACAACAUUAUUACAGCCCGUCAAAGCAUCCCAAAUAAUAGCUACACAUCUGAAAUACCGUUAGAAAAAAAUAUAUAAUAAUUGAUUACAGGACUAAACCAAAGCGCACAUUUCAGUGCUGUUAAUCACAGAGAUACAUUGUACAACAUGGAGGAGAGAAGAGGAGAGCGGGCAGCCAUGGGGGAUAAAACACGGCCUUCAGAGGAAAUAUGGUGACUUCUCUACAAUCACCAGAGAAACAUUACAGAGCUUUACCCGCACAACCACGACCACCAAAACACCAUCAGCUACACACGGCCAGAGGACGAGACAACGGGAGGAUUCAGGGGAUACACUGGAAAUAAAUACACAUAUAUUGAUUGUACCAACGUCAUUCAUUUCACUGUGUGGCCAUGUUGAAGAUGCGAUGUGUGUCCCGCUCUCAACGAACGACUGAACGCGCGCUUGCUCCCUCUCUCUCAAACGGUUGUGUGUUCAAGCGCCGGU
ensembl:lncRNA